rnacentral:rRNA from 1 species
GACGAACGCUGGCGGCGUGCUUAAUACAUGCAAGUCGAAGGGGUAUCGGUUUUCGGACCGGUAUCACUGGCGCACGGGUGAGUAACACGUAAGUAAUCUGCCCUCGGGUCUGACAUAACUCCGGGAAACCGGAGCUAAUAGCAGAUGAUAUGGAAACAUCAAAGGUUUCGACUGCCCGGGGAUGAGCUUGCGUCUGAUUAGCUAGUUGGCGGGUAACGGCCCACCAAGGCGACGANCAGUAGCCGGUCUGAGAGGAUGAUCGGCCACAUUGGGACUGAGACACGGCCCAGACUCCUACGGGAGGCAGCAGUAAGGAAUAUUGCGCAAUGGACGAAAGUCUGACGCAGCAACGCCGCGUGCAGGAUGAAGGCCCUUUGGGUUGUAAACUGCUGUAGCAGGGGAAUAAUGGUCCCGAGCGAUCGGGAUUUGAAGGUACCCUGAAAGUAAGCGCCGGCUAACUACGUGCCAGC